UACAGAGGUCUCGAGCGUUGUUCGGAUUCAUUGGGCGUAAAGGGUGCGUAGGUGGCGCCGUAAGUCGGGUGUGAAAUUUCGGAGCUUAACUCCGAAACUGCAUUCGAUACUGCGGUGCUUGAGGACUGGAGAGGAGACUGGAAUUCAUGGUGUAGCAGUGAAAUGCGUAGAGAUCAUGAGGAAGACCAGUGGCGAAGGCGAGUCCCUGGACAACUCCUGACGCUGAGGCACGAAAGCUAGGGGAGCAAACAGG
rnacentral:rRNA from 1 species